CUACGGGGGGCUGCAGUGGGGAAUAUUGGACAAUGGGCGAAAGCCUGAUCCAGCCAUGCCGCGUGUGUGAAGAAGGCCUUCGGGUUGUAAAGCACUUUCAGUGGGGAAGAAAGCCUUGGGGCUAAUACCCUCGAGGAAGGACAUCACCCACAGAAGAAGCACCGGCUAACUCCGUGCCAGCAGCCGCGGUAAUACGGAGGGUGCGAGCGUUAAUCGGAAUUACUGGGCGUAAAGCGCGCGUAGGCGGUCUGAUAAGCCGGUUGUGAAAGCCCCGGGCUCAACCUGGGAACGGCAUCCGGAACUGUCAGGCUAGAGUGCAGGAGAGGAAGGUAGAAUUCCCGGUGUAGCGGUGAAAUGCGUAGAGAUCGGGAGGAAUACCAGUGGCGAAGGCGGCCUUCUGGACUGACACUGACGCUGAGGUGCGAAAGCGUGGGUAGCAAACAGGAUUAGAUACCCGAGUAGC
rnacentral:rRNA from 1 species